rnacentral:rRNA from 1 species
UACGAAGGGGGCUAGCGUUGUUCGGAAUUACUGGGCGUAAAGCGCACGUAGGCGGAUAUUUAAGUGAGGGGUGAAAUCCCAGGGCUCAACCCUGGAACUGCCUCUCAUACUGGGUAUCCCGAGUUCGAGAGAGGUGAGUGGAAUUGCGAGUGUAGAGGUGAAAUUCGUAGAUAUUCGCAGGAACACCAGUGGCGAAGGCGGCUCACUGGCUCGAUACUGACGCUGAGGUGCGAAAGCGUGGGGAGCAAACAGG